rnacentral:misc_RNA from 1 species
CCAUCAGGAUCCCGACAUCAGUUUACCGGCGUCCCUCAGUCCGUGCAGUCGCGUUCGGUAUUCGCGUUCGAUCCGUCGAAUCACGUGCGUCCUCGGCAAAGGGUGACAGAGAAUAAAAGAGCAGGCGAUGUCGACAUUGAUGUUCCUCGGACGCGUCACUGCAGCAUCGAAUCGCCCUCGAGAUGUGUGAAACUCCUCCAGGAUUACCGCUACAGCUGGAUCCAUGAUUGUGGCAAAAUGGUGGAUUGGCAAAAGGCACUUUUAAUGGUGUUACUGGCGCUCCUGAUUUAUCCAAACGAUAUUUUUGGCGGCGCUUUUCAACCCGAAUUUUCCGGCCCUAUCACCAAUCUAACCGUGCCGCUCGGGAGGGACGCCACUUUCACGUGUCUGGUGAAACAUCUAGGAGGUUACAGGGUCGGUUGGGUAAAGGCGGACACGAAGGCGAUCCAGGCGAUACACGACCACGUGAUCACGCACAACCAGAGGGUGUCGGUGUCCCAUAGCGACCACUCUAUAUGGAACCUCCACAUCAAGGGCGUUCAGAAAGAGGACGGCGGCCUUUAUAUGUGUCAAAUAAAUACGGAUCCCAUGAAGAGUCAGACAGGUAUGCUAUCUAUUGUUGUGCCACCUGAUUUCGAUACCGAAGCUACAUCGAGCGAUAUGAUGGUGGGCGAGGGCGGCCAGGUGAAGUUAACGUGCCGGGCGAGAGGCGUACCGGAGCCGCGCGUAUCCUGGCGCCGGGAAGACGGCAGGAACAUUAUAAUUCGGGAGCCAUUUGCAGGAAGCGCCCUGAACCAGAAGUCUCACGUACUUACCGUGACUGAAUAUAUCGGUGAGGAGUUGAAGCUGACAAAGAUCUCGAGGAACGAGAUGGGGGUUUAUCUGUGCAUCGCCAGUAACGGAGUUCCGCCUGCGGUCAGCAAACGUAUUUAUAUCAACGUUCAUUUUCCGCCAGUGAUUCGCGUACCCAAUCAGCUGGUUGGCGCGCCUUUGGGGACCGACGUGAUCCUAGAAUGUCUCGUCGAGGCGUCCCCAAUGUCGAUUAACUAUUGGGUCAAGGACCCUAAGGGUGAGAUGACACGUGAGAUGACUGCGACGUUUCAGCGUGCGAUGAUAAUAUCGAGCGUCAGGCACGACGUUCAGACGAUAACAAAGUCACCGUUCGAGGUCCUGAUGAUCCUCACGAUCCGGAACUUGCAGAAAAACGACGUGGGAACGUACAAGUGCGCGGCCAAAAAUUCCCUCGGCGAGGUCGAGAGUAGUAUUCGAUUAUACGAGAUUUCGGGACCGGCGAAAACGCAAACGCCACCGUGGCCGCCCUUCUACGACGAAGAGGACGAAGCGAUGUUCGGUUCGGCGGAGAUGGACAAGACGGAGAACAAGCCACUGGCGGUGGAUAACACGGUCCACGGACACGUGGGUUAUCCGUCGCUCAUUACGCCGUCCUCCACGAUCCGCGGCAAGAAACGACCGAUAAGUGCCAGCUCGGGCGCUGAUCCUUAUCCACGACAGCUCUUCGUCCUGAUAUCGUCGCUGUUGUCGCUUCUAAUCGUUCGCCGAAGAUGGUGAUGGUGAUAAGAAAUGGGGAAGAACCGAGGAAUGAAAAACUUGAUCGAGAUAUCCGUCGCUAGUGCUCGCGUCAACCGCACGUUGCGAUUCUCGUAACGCGAUCUCUCGCAACGGCACAAUUCACUUUCGGAGAAGAAUUAUACGCGUUGUUGUACGCGAUUAACACGAUCCGACGACCGUAGACUCGAAGUUGUUUGUACAGCAAACUGCCGCGGAAAAAGAAAAAUAGAAUAGGUAUUUGAGAAAAUUCGGUGCUGUUCUCCAAACGUACUAUAUUUUAAUUUUGACUAAUCAGCGAGAAGCCGCUGCACCCGGCAGGCAAGGUUCGCGUAAGGUAAAAGCCCGCAAGCUUUAAUCUUCAUUGGCUAUUCAGCAGAGCUUGCUCCGGCUCUGUGUACGGCAAAAACAACUUCGAAUGGGCUUAAGUCGCCGCCGCCGACGACGACGUAUCGUCUUCCCUGAGUGGCUUAUUCGUAAUUCGUAGACCUAAUCAAUGCAUCGAAAGCUCGCGAAAGGGAUGAACCAAGUGGUGCUGCAGAUGGGAGCAUUGCGGAGCAUGUAUUACAUUGAUCGUGAUACUUAAAUCGGAAAAUCGAUCGGCGGGUUAGUUAAUUAAAUUCAGAGAUCGAAUUCGGUACAGUUUUAACUUGGUUCCGUUCGUCAUUGUCGCGGUAUUAAGAAUGCGGUCACCUAAAUUUUCACCCGUGUGUAAAUUUGAAUCAGUGUAACGUGAUCUCACAGAUAUCACCGCCUAUCAUCGAUUUAUCUGAACUCAACAGUGAUUUACAAAAUUGAUACUAAUAUUAAUUAAGCCGAACAACUUUUUAUGUAAAAUAUCAACUUCUUCUCUAUUUUGUUACGUGCAUGAAAGCGUACGCGUUAUAUCAAAUCAAAUUGCGGGCUCUCAAUCGAUUAAAUCGACGCUUAAUAAAAGAGAGAAACGGACGCAAAAGGUAAGAAGGAAGACAAGAAAGCGAUAGAAGACCGACAUUAAAGGACGGACGGGUAAAGUCACCAAUAAGGAGAAGAACAUAUCUUGAAAUGAAGAUAAAUAUUCCUGGAAUAAUAUUCGCGCGGAUCGAAAAGUCAGUGGAUGAGCAAACAACUAUAACUGUUCGAUAGAUCAGUGACGAUCGUUCUCUGGGAUGAGUUACUUCGAGCAAAUAUGCAGAAUUCAUGUGUGGAAAAAAGAAUGUGAGAAACAAAGAGUAAGAGAAAAAAGCGAGAAAGAGAGAGAGAGAGAGAGAGAGAGAGAGAGAGAGAGAGAGAGAAUAAUUAUAUUUUUAUAUUUCCACUGUAGCGUGCUUAUGUUUUGUGUUAAUAGUUUUUUAAUUACUAUCAAAGCUUUCUCCAUUCCAAUCGUUAUCAUUGUGACAUUCGGUUCCCACAGUAAUUUCUUUAAUUAUACUUGAUGUUACAAUAGCAAACGUCGUGAUGUAAUGGCGUAUCCAGAUUGGACGUUCCAAUUCCGCUUUCGGGUCUCCAUUCUGUUUUCAGACGAAAAUCCCCAAAGUGGAUCUAACACAAUCGUGGAAAGAUAACAGAAUCGAUCGCGUCGAUUCCCGCGCACCACUCGCUCCACGAGUUUUGUAUUCACUAAAUAAAUCGGGCGUCCCCGUGGGUGCUUGGUUUUGAAGUUUUUAUGGUAACUAAAAUUGCGUCUCGUUACGCUUCGCGAUUCAUUUUCGGUACUCGCCGCCAGCUCUCUCGCAGGAGCGUCAUACGUCCCCAAUUUUUAUUAAAACCUUCAUGUAUAUCUCAAAUCGAUUUGUUCUUCGCAAUCGGUUCGCCCACAUCUAAUUCCUCUUAAACAUCGUGCAAACUUUUUUCACGUAGUACACGACGGGAGUUAAUCCUUUCGCUAUCCUACUUAAUUUAAAAGUAAAGACUAUAAUGAAGUUGCAGAUAGUUUGUAGUUUCAAAGUGAUAUUGACGUAAAAAAAGAAAGAGAGGAGUUUUAAUGGUAAAAUAGUUAUAAAGCGUUCGCCAGCGUUGUUCAAAAUGCACAACAUAAUGGAAGUACAUUAAGUGAUGUUUGGGAUUAAAAAAAAAUUUACGUUUACUUUAUAUAUUCUCGAUAUUGUAGAUUCACGUAUUGCUCCGUUGAAACAUCGCAUCUGAUAAAUUUGUCACCUGCAAGGUUUUUCCUGGGAAGUCCUUCAAUUAACUACUGUCCCAUUUCGCGUCCGAUAUAAUAUGCGACGUGCCACAUUCGUCACUGCAGUCCAAAUGGCUGGUCGCAAAAAAAAAAAUCCUGAUUCGCGAAGCGUCCUCAAGCGUCCUCACGAGAGCCAAUGAAUGGUCGCUCUCUCGGUGGCAGAAAAAAACCAUUGAGAAAAAAAAUCGUGACGCCGCCGCUUUUUCCCCCGACGGGCCAAAUCGCGCUCGUUUGCGACACGCCGCCCCGUAACCUACGGGGUCGCGAACGAGCGUGUUCCCUCUUAUUUCGUCAGAGGGAAUCCUCGUUCCAUAACGAUUAUCGUGUCUCUUUCUCUCUCUCUCUCUCUCUUACUCAUUCACUCACUCACUUACUUACUCACUCUCUGGCGGCGUAGGAAAACGGCGGAGAGGCGAGCCGCCUCUCUCGGUCACCGUGAGAAAUUAUAAGGGCGAAUCCGCCUUUAAGGACUAGAGGAAGAAGAUCUUAGUUCCUCCAUAAAUAAACACAACUGCCCGCGCAGCUGGCGCGGACGUAAUUCAUCGUGAAUUAAUUUAAGGGCUACCGCCACCUCUCUCCUUCAUUGCUCUCCUCCACUUCUGGCUCCCUCUCCCCUUUCUUCCGUCCCACGUUUUCAUUAGAAGGCCCGCCAUGCCGAGGCCGCCAUUUGGCAGCUCUCGCUUUUAUGCUGAUUUUAUUUCCCUUCUUUCGCGAACUCGGGCAUCCACGGGGCAAUUGUGCGGUAUUAUUAUCCGCUACGAGCCGUGGUGGCAUGAACGACCGCAUGACAUACGGCCCGUCGAACCGAGUGAAGUCCAGAAUGAAGAUUUCAUAGUUCGCCAAAGGUCCUGCUGCCUUCCUUCCCAUCCUCGUCCUCAUCACCACCUCGUUCUCGUCGUUAAUAUCAUCGUGGUGCCCGAAGACUUUAUAUGACUUCCAAACAAGCUUACCGUUUGGACUUCAUCGCGUAGUCCAAUCGUCUUUAUAAAGUUACAACUGCAGCUGCAGUUGCAGCACCUCUUCGUGCUGGUCCCCCCCAAACCAUCGCUCUUUCUCUCUCUCUCUCUCUCUCUCUCUCUGGCUGUGGCUGCUCGUAGAUUUCUGUCCCUCUGCCCCUCUCUUCCUCACUCCUCGGCCAUUCGCUUAAUCUCCGUCGGUUACGCUUAUUAAAGUCCCGAGAGGUACGACGUGUAAGUCCGUCGAGGCGAUAUACACGGGGGACGCGUAUAGUUACGUAUGCGCGCUGGUUGCACGACUGUUGGUUUAUCGCGCGCUCGCAGUCGGUGCUUCUCGCCGUUUCGACGUGCCAGACGAAGGGCACAGUUUCAGAAGUGCACACUCCAACACGUCGCCAACGAGGAACGAUCAAUGUAAUUCGGCGACUCGUCGCGAAGGGACAAAUAUCCUAUUUAUGCAUAAUACGUGUAACAUUUCCUCCGUUUUGUCUAAUUUGUGAAAUGAUAUCAUUCACAUAACCCAUGAUAAAGCUGCGCGAAAGCAAUUACCUCAAAAAUUAUAACGCGCACAAUUUGAAAUUUAAAAUUGAUUAUUCUAAUUGAUAAUGCUGUCGAUUUGAGAUUGAUGGAUUAACUUUCUUUGUUUACAAUAUUAAUUACAAUAGCGAUAAUGAUUUUAAAUAUCAGUUCUUCUUCACUUCGCUUCAACGUUGAUAUAUUUUGGCACUUUAACUGCCAGACGAUUUGGGAUUUUUCUACGACACGAUCGAACAGCUUCGAGAAGUUUGUUUUAUGAGUCUUAAGUGGGUCGAUUGAACUGGUAUAAAGUUUUAAGAGUUUUGGAGAAGGAGAAUUAGCCAACUUCCUUUUAUCUGUGUGAAUUAUCGCUUUUGUGAAUCGUUCCUUUUGACAUUUACGUUGACACUGUGUGAAAUAAUGCUGUUUUUAUACUUCCCAAUGUUUUUCUUUACGAUAUUAUACAUAUGAUAUAUACCUCGAUGCAAAUUUCAUUUGUUUUACUUUAUUUCAAUUAUAUAAUACUGUCGUUCGAUCGAUCUUUUUUUUCGUACAGAAUGUCGAUGUACUAUACGAUUCCUGAACUUUCUUCCUUUUUUUUUUGUUGCGCAGUAUAGCCAUGCUUAUCUUUUCCAUGGGUUCUCUUUUAUUUACUUUUAGUUUUCGCAACGUGGCUUGUUGCAGUCGUUAGUUUUUCUUUGCGCUUAUUGAGUCGUAAAUAACAUAUCUUCCUUAUCGAACGAAAACACCGUUGCAAAAAAACCUAUCCAAAUACCUGUUCUAGAAUUUUUCGCUCUUCGUGCAGUAGUUUUCACAAUCGAGUUUCGAGGCUGUGUUAACUUACAUACAUAUACUCGCGCGCGCAUAUACACAUACACACGUAUAAGAAAUAACUAGAUUCAAAAUAUUUUCUUUUUAUAUUAUGUUAACAUGAUAUAUCAUAAAAAGAAAAAUAGCAGGAAUUACAGAAAUGUUACUUUUAGAAACAAGUAAAAUUUUAUUAUGCAUAAAUUGGCGAGUGCAAAUUCGAGAAAAAGAAAAUCUUAUCGAAAAAAAAAAAGAUCGAUUAAAGUAGAUUGUAUUACUGCACGAUUUUCGCGAUAUAGAUAUAUUUUCUCUUUCAAUGUCCGAUCAUACGGAUAAUCGGAUUUUCCGCGCUUAUUCUGCGACUUUGAGUUCGUUGACGGACAGUAUUGGGAUACAGUUCUCUCAGAAGUGAAAUGUGUUAUGGAUGUAAGGGGGAGAAACGUUCUCGCGCGAGAGCUGCCGAUGAAUUUUCUGCGUAACGGGGUACAAGGCCACGACAGCCACCCUUGAAAUCCCAAAGUCAUCCGCCAUGAAGAUUAUCACUGGCGGUUAUCCAGCAGCUGCACGUCACUCGGCAAGUCCUAUCCGGCGGCUCAUCACAUUCCUCCUUUCGCGCUUCCAAAUACUCCUUUAGACUGCAGUAUCAGACAAUACGAGAAAACGGAACUUUGAAUACGUGGAAAACUGUUAAUGGUGUGCAUGAUGCGAAGGAUGAUUUCACAAUUCUUUAAGGAAUAUUUAAAUCCUUCCCCCAUCCCUUCUCUUCCAGCGCCGUUAAGCUUUAGAAUCGGUAUCGUAAAGCUGUAUUUUAUUAACAUCAGAAGAGCCGAGAUAAAAUAAUACCAUUUUUAUUAGAUUCAAUAGACCGUCUUCGAUUAUCGGUACAUUACAUAUCUUUAAAGUUUAAACAUAUCAAUAUAAACAAAUAAUAAUAAAAUUUAAAAAAUGUUAUCUUAAAAUAAGUAAUUAACUUAGAUUAUCAAAGAGGCCUUGAUCCGGCAAUCAUUCACGUAUAUACUGUCAAUGUUUUAUUUAUCUACAAACUUGAAUCUUUUAGUCAUUUAAAGGCUUUAUAUUUUAAUAAAAACUUUCCUUUAAUUAUGCUUUCCAUCUUAAUAAGAAGUUUCAAUACAAAGUGUUUUCUUAGAAAUUAAAAUUUAAUGUAUUUAAAAAGAAAAAAAUUAUAGAAAACAAAAAGUGUUUUUCAAUACAGUCGAUAGAGAUACAAGUGUCUCGAUUCUUCUGGUGUUAACUGGAGAUUUCCUGUUGUGUUUUAAUAGACACGAUGUAUUAUAUACUUUUUGUAAAAUAAUAAAAGUCGAAUACACGGUUAAAAGGCGUUCCUUAGUUAGAUUUAUGUAAGUCAUGAUGUGUGACCCAGGAUCUUUUUGAUCCUGACGGAGGAUCACCUCGCGAGACGGAAAUGUGCUUUAAGAAUUCUUCGAGAGAAAUGCUUACAUGCGCUUGUCGAUGAGUGUUCGAGAAUUAAAUGAAUUGCAUUCUCAUUAUUUACAACCGCAAUCGAAAUUCGACUUGUACAUUAAGAGAAGAAGUUGCAAUUCUGCGUUGUUAAAUCGUAUCCGAACGAGUUAUGCGAGUAUUAUCUCGAGAUGACGAGAUGCUGCUUGUGUAAAAAAAAAAAAGUUCGACCAUCGACGAUGUAUACCAAACCUAAACGCUAUCAUCCUGUAUAAAUAAUAAUCGCGAAGCCGUAAUAGCAUUCGAUAUGAUUUUUCGACGGCAUCGUUUUCCGGCGCGCAAUAUACAUAGUGCUCGCGUAAAUUUUGUACGUACGUGCAAUCGGUCAUUUCGGUAAAGAUUAAAAAUGAGACGACGAGCGACAAACGGAUUGUAUAAAUAUAGUCAUGUAAGAAGGUAGUGGAAAAUAAUUCUGUAAAUAAUUGUGAAGAAAACAAACACUGUAACCAAGUAUCACGGCGGAAUAAAGAUGGAGCUUCAUGUUGCAUAUGAAGCUAUCGAUAAGA